rnacentral:tRNA from 1 species
ACUUAUUUAAUAUAUAAAGUAUAUUUGACUUCCAAUCAAAAAGUUUGAUUAACAAAAUAAGUA